rnacentral:sRNA from 17 species
GUCAGCACCCCGCAUUGAAAUUGCGGGGCUAGGCUACGCCUCGCUGCGCGUCCAUGCCCCCAGUUUCAGUUAGUUGACCAGCCUAAGUCUUAAAUGACUACGUUUUUCAGGUCAUAAUACCUACAAAUACGUUGCUAGUUUGUAGCUCUAUU